AUUGAACGCUGGCGGCAGGCUUAACACAUGCAAGUCGAGCGAGCGGCGGACGGGUGAGUAAUGUCUGGGAAACUGCCUGAUGGAGGGGGAUAACUACUGGAAACGGUAGCUAAUACCGCAUACCAUCGGAUGUGCCCAGAUGGGAUUAGCUAGUAGGUGGGGUAAUGGCUCACCUAGGCGACGAUCCCUAGCUGGUCUGAGAGGAUGACCAGCCACACUGGAACUGAGACACGGUCCAGACUCCGACGGGAGGCAGCAGUGGGGAAUAUUGGACAAUGGGCGAAAGCCUGAUGCAGCCAUGCCGCGUGUGUGAAGAAGGCCUUCGGGUUGUAAAGCACUUUCAGUAAGGAGGCGUUACCUGCAGAAGAAGCACCGGCUAACUCCGUGCCAGCAGCCGCGGUAAUUC
rnacentral:rRNA from 1 species